CCCUCGGCUUCUUCCUCAGCUCCGCGCUGGUGACUGUCGUCGACCGCGUGACGGGGCACGGCGGGCACGGCUCGUGGCUGGCCGACGAUCUCAACCAGGGGAGGCUCUACGACUUCUACUGGCUCCUGGCGGUGCUCAGCGUGCUCAACCUCGCCGUCUAUUUGGCCUCCGCUCGGUGGUACGUCUACAGGGAACGAGGGGAGCCGCCAACGGACGACGGCAACCUCGGAGUCGAGCUCAGGGACGCCGAAACGGCCCACCACGUCUGAUCUCCGGCCAGAAGGGGAACUCUUUUCUUCUUCGCGACAUGAAUUCUCCCUGUAAAACGUGACAACUACCCCGCCUACCUGCACACGACAUGAAGACGCCAGCCGCUAGCUUGGCGCCGUUGCUAAGUUGUCCACUCGUGUGGACUUAUGAUUUUGUUUAGAUGUUCUGGGCAAAGUAAAGAAGAUGCCCAUGGUAUUGUUUCACUGCAACCGCUCUCUUGCCGGGCGGUUAUGAGGGAAAAAGGGGGAAGGGAAGGCUCCUGGAACCAGUCUGUGUAACCGUUCUGUGUAACCUCCUUCCUCGACUGAUGAAGGAGGGAGUGCGGAGGACCGGGAGGCGACGGACGAGGAUGG
rnacentral:lncRNA from 1 species